GAUGAACGCUGGCGGCGUGCCUAAUACAUGCAAGUCGAGCGAACAGAUGAGGAGCUUGCUCCUCUGACGUUAGCGGCGGACGGGUGAGUAACACGUGGAUAACCUACCUAUAAGACUGGGAUAACUUCGGGAAACCGGAGCUAAUACCGGAUAAUAUAUUGAACCGCAUGGUUCAAUAGUGAAAGACGGUUUUGCUGUCACUUAUAGAUGGAUCCGCGCCGCAUUAGCUAGUUGGUAAGGUAACGGCUUACCAAGGCAACGAUGCGUAGCCGACCUGAGAGGGUGAUCGGCCACACUGGAACUGAGACACGGUCCAGACUCCUACGGGAGGCAGCAGUAGGGAAUCUUCCGCAAUGGGCGAAAGCUUGACGGAGCAACGCCGCGUGAGUGAUGAAGGUCUUAGGAUCGUAAAACUCUGUUAUUAGGGAAGAACAAAUGUGUAAGUAACUAUGCACGUCUUGACGGUACCUAAUCAGAAAGCCACGGCUAACUACGUG
rnacentral:rRNA from 1 species